GACGAACGCUGGCGGCGUGCUUAACACAUGCAAGUCGAACGGAAAGGCCCUGCGUUUGUGGGGUGCUCGUUUGGCGAACGGGUGAGUAACACGUGAGUAACCUGCCCUUGACUUUGUGAUAACUUCAGGAAACUGGGGCUAAUACCGGGUAUGAGCUCCUGCUGCAUGUUGGGGGUUGGAAAGUUUCGGCGGUUGUGGAUGGACUCGCGGCUUAUCAGCUUGUUGGUCGGGUAGUGGCUUACCAAGGCUUUGACGGGUAGCCGGCCUGGGAGGGUGACCGGCCACCUUGGGCCUGCGAGACGGACCAGACUGCUACGGGAGGCAGUAGGGGGGAAUAUUGCACAAUGGGCGGAAGCCUGAUGCAGCAACGCCGCGUGCGGGAUGACGGGCUUCGGGUUGUAAACCGAUUUCGCAUGUGACGAAGCGUGAGUGACGGUAAUGGGUAAAGAAGCACCGGCUAACUACGUG
rnacentral:rRNA from 1 species